rnacentral:hammerhead_ribozyme from 1 species
AUCGAGCUGGCGAGUUCGAAAUAGGACGAAACACGUGUCCUGGAU